UAUAUUUGAGAGUUUGAUCCUGGCUCAGGAUGAACGCUGGCGGCGUGCCUAACACAUGCAAGUCGAGCGAACCCUUCGGGGUGAGCGGCGGACGGGUGAGUAACGCGUGGGUAACCUGCCCUGUACACACGGAUAACAUACCGAAAGGUAUGCUAAUACGGGAUAACAUAUGAGAGUCGCCUGGCUUUCAUAUCAAAGCUCCGGCGGUACAGGAUGGACCCGCGUCUGAUUAGCUAGUUGGUAAGGUAACGGCUUACCAAGGCAACGAUCAGUAGCCGACCUGAGAGGGUGAUCGGCCACAUUGGAACUGAGACACG
rnacentral:rRNA from 1 species